AUGACGGAUGACGGCCAAGACAACGAACUUGCUGCUCUGGAGAAAGUGCUGCUCGACAAAAGUGUGGAUCCCGUCGAUCUGCCUUUCUCGCUUCUCAAGGCCAUCACAGGAAACUUCUCUGAAGAUAAUAAAAUCGGCAGUGGCGGGUUCGGAGCGGUUUACAAGGGCGUGCUUCCAAGUGGUCGUACCAUUGCCGUGAAGAAGCUCUUUGAGAGAUUCGAGAUACUGGACAAGAAUUUCGAAAGUGAGAUCGCCUGUCUUGUUGGGGUCAAGCACAAGAACACGGUGCGAUUCCUCGGAUAUUGCUCCGAGACGCAACACGUGAUGAGGCUGUACGAGGGGAGGCAGGUCUGGGCAGACGUACGGCAGAGGUUGCUCUGCUUCGAGUACCUACCCAAAGGGUGCCUUGCUGACUAUCUCUCCGAUGCAUCUUGUCGACUCCAGUGGACCACACGUUACCAAAUAAUCAAGGGGAUCUGUGAGGGCUUAGAUUAUCUUCACCAACAGCAUAUUAUUCACAUGGACCUCAAACCUCAGAAUGUACUAUUGGAUGAUAACAUGGUGCCCAGGAUUGCGGAUUUCGGUCUAUCACGACGCUUAAGUGGAAGCCAGAGUCGGGCUAUUACUGAUCACAAGCUUGGGACAAUGGGAUAUAUGGCACCAGAAUUCUUAAAUAAUGGAGAAAUCACCUUCAAGACAGACAUAUAUAGUUUGGGUGUUAUAAUCAUGGAGAUCCUUAUGGGACAUAAGGAGAGCUCCAGUGUUAAGGAGGUAGUUGAAAGCUGGGCGGACAUGUUUGGGACAUCAAAUAGUCACACAUCACUGGAACAAGUAAAGGCAUGUGCCGAGAUAGGGAUAGAAUGUACAAACUAUUACCCAGGGAACAGGCCAGCUACAUGGUUUAUCAUCCGUGGAAUACUGGGUGAUGUGGGAAUUUCAAAUUGGUCUGUUACAGGUGAUGUAGGUACCUCAACAGAAGGGCAGGUAUAA
rnacentral:rRNA from 1 species